rnacentral:rRNA from 1 species
CGAUAACGAACGAGACCUUAACCUGCUAAAUAGUGCAGCAAACUUGUGUUUGUGUGUGCUUCUUAGAGGGACUGACCACGUUUAGUGGUAGGAAGUUUGAGGCAAUAACAGGUCUGUGAUGCCCUUAGAUGUUCUGGGCCGCACGCGCGCUACACUGACAAAGGCAGCGAGUAUAUAACCUUGGCCGGAAGGUCUGGGCAAUCUUGUGAAACUUUGUCGUGCUGGGGAUAGACCAUUGCAAUUAUUGGUCUUCAACGAGGAAUUCCUAGUAAGCGCAAGUCAUCAGCUUGCGUUGAUUACGUCCCUGCCCUUUGUACACACCGCCCAUCGCUACUACCGGAUUGAAUGGCU